UGAUCUGUUCAUUCUGCUGAAGA
rnacentral:siRNA from 1 species